AAUGCUUCAAUCACUCUGGCUAAUGUCUACUUACCAAAUACACGCCAGUGUCAUACAUUCCGCAAAAUUCUAAACAAUAUCCAGCGGCUCACACAAGGAACUUUAAUUAUAGGGGGCGACUUUAACUUAUCUAUUGACGCUCUGCAGGACAAUACGUCACGCCACCCAAAUCAUCUCCAACCCCUCAGAUCCCAGCUAAAGAGGCUUCUUCAUAAUCACCAAUUAGUAGACUGCUGGAGGGCGCUACACCCUUCCACGAAAGACUACACCUUUUAUUCCAAAUCAGCCUCCACAUACACGAGAAUAGACUUCUUUCUCACCACACAUAGGGAUCUUUCCCUGAUCACCUCGGCAACGAUUGGAAACAUUACGUGGUCCGAUCAUGCCCCAAUCUACAUACAAUUUAAAAUCCCCUCUCUAGCACAGGGGAAAGGCCAGUGGAAACUCAAUACUACUAUCCUCCAUGAUGAAAUGGCGAAACAAGCAAUCGCCCAAACCAUAGCGCACUACUUCCAGGAGAACAAUACACAAGACACGACUCCUUUCCUUCAAUGGGAGGCACAUAAGUGUGUGGUGCGAG